rnacentral:misc_RNA from 1 species
GCCACUGUCAGGCCCCUGCACCUUCAGUUUACAGUCAUUGGACCAUAGAGAUGUGUCUGACCCUGCGUCUCCACUGCUCCGAGCAUCAUUCUUCAGUUUUGCAGUUAAAAUUUCCUUCUUAUGCUUUAGAAGCUUCAGUUCAGCACCAAGGCUACGCAGUUUCUGCUGCAAUUCAGCAGACAGAGAGGCGCUUCGGUCAAUGUGAUCACGAAGAAUGGCUGAACUCAACAUCUCACCACACAAGAAUUUAAGAAGGAAAAUUCUAUCCUCCAGUGGAAUCUCCCAAUAUUCCUUCAACUCCAUGGUCCUUGUUAAUUGAGAAAGUUUUUCCAUAAACUUGUGUGUUAGUUUUCUGCGCAACCUCCUCUUAACGCAUUGACGAAUAGUAUGAGAACCAGAAGAAGCAUUCUGGGACCGUGAUAUCUUAGCUUCACAAUCUG